rnacentral:misc_RNA from 1 species
GAUGAAGAACGCAGCGAAAUGCGAUAAGUAGUGUGAAUUGCAGAAUUCAGUGAAUCAUCGAAUCUUUGAACGCACAUUGCGCCCGCCAGUAUUCUGGCGGGCAUGCCUGUUCGAGCGUCAUUACAACCCUCAGGCCCCCGGGCCUGGCGUUGGGGAUCGGCGGAGCCCCCCGUGGGCACACGCCGUCCCCCAAAUGCAGUGGCGGUCCCGCCGCAGCUUCCAUCGCGUAGUAGCUAACACCUCGCGACUGGAGAGCGGCGCGGCCACGCCGUAAAACACCCAACUCUUCUGAAGUUGACCUCGAAUCAGGUAGGAAUACCCGCUGAACUUAAGCAUAUCAAUAAGCGGAGGA